GUACGCAUGGCACCUCCGGGAUAGGGGACGUCUCGGGAGAUAGAAAGACGGGCUGAAUGAGUGAACUGCAUCUGAUGUAUUAUAUGUAAAUUCUAACUAGAAAAACCUCCCGUUUUGGGAGUAUGUUUUUGUAAAUAUUUAUAAACUUGUUUUUUUGGAAAUAAUAAAAUGCUUAUAUAAUUAAUUUUAGCCUUAACACUGUGUUGUGGGGCCCGAAGUAGGAGGUGACGACCUCAUGAUGCAGUGUGGCGGUAGCAUUUCCAGUAUGAGCCAACUGGGGGUGUUACAAGUUGGUAUCAGAGCCUAGGUUUGAUAGAUUUUGGCUCUUUGAAUUAAAAAGGUUUUGAAAAUAAUAAUGAUAUUGAAUUGGUUUGGUGAGGUUUGGGUUUUGCGGGUGCAUUCAUGUUAAUGUGAUCUAUCUUUUAUUGUUAUGCUUGGUUUAGCUGUGUGCUGAAUUGAUAUUGAAUCAGGAAAAAUUGGGGGCAGUAUGUCGAAUUCUCGAGGUGGUGGUGUACGUAGGGCUAUUCAAGGCCCAGAGUUUGAUCCUUUGUCUGAUGAGUCACAGUAUCCUGUGCCAGCGCAUGUACCAACAGAGGCACCUAGUCAGGAUUUCUUUCGGCAGUUUAUGGCCGCGAUGAUGCCUCAACAGAAGAGUUUCAUUGAUGCUGUGAUGCGGCAUAACCCACCAACAUAUUCUGGUUCAGUGGAGCCAGGAGUCCUUGAGUUUUGGGUUGAAAAGAUGGAAAAGAUAUUUCGUGUUGUUCAGGUUCCGCCAGAUCAACGAGUUAAUAUUGGAGCCUAUUUCUUGGAAGGCCGAGCAAAUCGGUGGUGGUUAGGUGAAGAAGCUGCAGGUGUAGACCAAGUGGAUAUGACUUGGGAUGAAUUUAAAGCAAAGUUAAAGGCUAGGUUUAUACCGUCGCAUAUUCGAAAAGCGAAGAAGCAAGAAUUGCUGGACUUAAAGCAGGGCUCGAUGUCAGUUGAGGAUUAUUUUGUGAAGUUUAAUGAGUUGGAGAUGUAUGUUCCUGACUACUUUUCCUGUGAGCGAGACAGAAUUGACCAUUUUGUAGACGGGUUGCAACACAGAAUUCAAGAAGCUUUAGCGGUGUUGGAUAUCAGUUCAUUGUAUGAGGCUUACGAGCGUGCUGCCCGAUUUUAUCAGAAGCAGGAAGUCAGACAAAAGGAGAGUGAGAAGGAAAUAGGUUAUCAACAUCAGGUUCGAGAUAAGGGAAAAGCUAAAGUGGAGGAUGAACCCAAGGGUAAAAAGAAAUGGUGGCAAAUGUUUAGGUCUGGGCCAUCGUAUAAGGGGAUUUCGAUUAAUGAACCGAGUUAGGAGAGGUCUCAGCAAUCGGGGGCUGUUUGUCGGCGUUGUGGAACAAGCCACCCAGGUACUCGUUGUGAUAAAGUUCCAUUGACAUGUUUUAAAUCUGGUGGUAGUGGUCACAUUGCCAGGUUAUGUCCAAGUGUGGUAACUGCAAGGGAGUUUCCAGAACCGAGGUUUAGGCCAUGGCAGCCGCCGUCUUCGCAGUCACAAGGGAGAGGAUUAGGAUCAUCUUGGCGAGGGGGACGAAGUCAGUCACGUUCGUCAUCUAGGCAGCCAGGCAGAGGACCUGACCAGCGUGGACGAAUAAAUGUUCUUACCCAAGCAGAAGCUGAUUAUCAUCCAGGUACGCAUGGCACCUCCGGGAUAGGGGACGUCUCGGGAGAUAGAAAGAC